rnacentral:rRNA from 1 species
UACGUAGGUCCCGAGCGUUGUCCGGAUUUAUUGGGCGUAAAGCGAGCGCAGGUGGUUUAUUAAGUCUGGUGUAAAAGGCAGUGGCUCAACCAUUGUAUGCAUUGGAAACUGGUAGACUUGAGUGCAGGAGAGGAGAAUGGAAUUCCAUGUGUAGCGGUGAAAUGCGUAGAUAUAUGGGGGAACACCGGUGGCGAAAGCGGCUCUCUGGCCUGUAAUUGACACUGAGGCUCGAAAGCGUGGGGAGCAAAUAGG